rnacentral:rRNA from 1 species
GAUGAACGCUAGCGGCAGGCCUAACACAUGCAAGUCGAGGGGUAGAACACUUCGGUGUUUGAGACCGGCGCACGGGUGCGUAACGCGUAUGCAAUCUACCUUGUACAGGGGAAUAGCCCAGAGAAAUUUGGAUUAAUGCCCCAUAGUAUAUAACCUUCGCAUGUUGGUUAUAUUAAAGUUCCAACGGUAAAAGAUGAGCAUGCGUCCCAUUAGUUAGUUGGUAAGGUAACGGCUUACCAAGACGAUGAUGGGUAGGGGUCCUGAGAAGGAGAUCCCCCACACUGGUACUGAGACACGGACCAGACUCCUACGGGAGGCAGCAGUGAGGAAUAUUGGUCAAUGGGCGCAAGCCUGAACCAGCCAUGCCGCGUGCAGGAAGACGGUCCUAUGGAUUGUAAACUGCUUUUAUACAGGAAGAAACCCUCCCACGUGUGGGAGAUUGACGGUACUGUAGGAAUAAGGAUCGGCUAACUCCGUGCCAGCCGCCGCCGUAAGAC